AUAUUGGUCAAUGCACUAAAGUGUGAACCAGUUACCUAGAUUUGAGUGUUAACACUCAAUGUAGUAUUAAAAAAUGAUGAUUUUUAUAUGAAUAGUUCCGUCCAAAUUCUGUGCCAGCAGACGCGGUAAGACAGAAGGAGCAACCCAUCGGAGUUAUGAAUAGGUGUAAAGGGUACGUAGCUGGUUAUAGAAUAACUAGAGUCAAAUAGAAGUCAAAAUAAUAUCUAGAGAAGGGCUGAUAUCUUAUUAUACUAGAGGGAAAGCUAAAGGCGAAGGCAUUUGACUAAGUAAUGACUGACGGUAAGGUACGAAGGCUAAGGUAGGAAUAGGGAUUAGAUACCCCAGUACUCUUAGCUGUAAACGAUGCAAGUUAGAGAUUAGUUUAGCUAUGAUUAGUCUCUAUACAAACGUGUUAAACUUGCCACCUGUAGAGUAUAGUCCCAUGACCGAAAUACAAAUCAUUAGACUGUUCGUGAGCAAACGGAGUGGAGCAUGUUAUUUAAUACGAUAAUCCGCGUAAAAUCUUACCACAUCUUGCAUAUAAUCAUCUGAAAUAGAUAGUUAAAUACAGGUGCUGCAUGGUUGUCGCCAGUUAGUGUUUGUGAGACCUAUGGUUAAUUCCGUUGAACUAACGCAAUCCUUGCUAUAAAUGAAUUCUUUAUAGUUUCAUUCUGACAAAGAAUGAUUUUAGAAGGACUAUGACAAACCCUCAUGGCCCUUAUGGUGUGGGCUAUA
rnacentral:rRNA from 1 species